rnacentral:rRNA from 1 species
UUUAUAGCCUCUGGCUAUAGGAAAUUGUUAGUGGCAGACGGGUGAGUAAUGCGUAGGAAUCUACCUAGUAGUACGGAAUAGCCAUUAGAAAUGGUGGGUAAUACUGUAUAAUCCCCGAGGGGGAAAGAUUUAUCGCUAUUAGAUGAGCCUACGUUAGAUUAGCUAGUUGGUGAGGUAAUGGCUUACCAAGGCUAUGAUCUAUAGCUGGUCUGAGAGGACGAUCAGCCUCACUGGAACUGAGAUACGGUCCAGACUCCUACGGGAGGCAGCAGUGGGGAAUAUUGGACAAUGGGCGAAAGCCUGAUCCAGCCAUGCCGCGUGAGUGAAGAAGGCCUUCGGGUUGUAAAACUCUUUCAAUAGGGAAGAUAAUGACGGUACCUAUAGAAGAAGUCCCGGCAAACUCUGUGCCAGCAGCCGCGGUAAUACGGAGGGGGCAAGCGUUGUUCGGAAUUAUUGGGCGUAAAGGGCACGUAGGUGGACUAGUAAGUUAAAAGUG